CUUUACUUUUUACAUGAUUAUUACUUAAUUUAACAUAACAUGACUCAAAGAUUUUAAAUGACUGAAAUGAAUUUUGAAACUAUGACACAUGUCACCUCUCUAAUGUCUUCCCCCAGUCAUUCCAGGUCCCAAUUAGCCACCUGGCAACCAGGAGGAUCUGAAGGCCAAGGCCUGACUGAGACCAUCAGGACAGAAGACAGAGCUGUGAAGACUAUACCUGGAGGAUCCAGCCCCUCCCAAAAUAGCCAGGAGGCAAAACAGGGAAAGAAGAGGAAUAAAGGGUCAUAUUGGGCUUGGUUCUGGCUUGCAGUUGCUGGUCUAGGCACUAGGAACCUGUCUCCUGACUUUGUCAUGGUCACCUAUCUAGACCCCUGAAUCCAGAGACUCUAAACAAAAGACAUAAGCUCACAGUGAAAUCAAGCAAGUAUCCAAUUAUAUUUCAUUGAUAAUUUUAAAGCCAUUUCUAUUUGACCAACAAUUUAAAAACUAGCUUUAUUUACCAAAUAUCACAUCUACAUAACACACACAGACAUACGAACACACAGAAGCAGACCUCAUAGCUCUCAUAAGGGAUUUUCAUUUAUCUGCUUUUAAAUAGUUUGUCUUUUCCCCAUUCGGUCUAUCAGUCUUCCAAUUACCAGUUUCAUUACUCUAAGCAGUCGUUAACUAGGCAGUUUCGAUUUCUAAAAGGACAACUCUUAGGUGGAACCAAAAAAAAAUAUUUCAUGAGCACAGAGCUAAGACGUUAGGCCUAAAUAUUGUAUCAUCAUUUGCUCAAACCAAGGGAAAAAAACGACACUCUCACGAAAGUUCCAUCAAGAAAAAAUGGCCAGAAAAGCACCUUAAACAAAGUGUCCUGAUGAUACUUCCAUUGCCACUUAAUAACUGGAUGAGCUUGGGUAAGUUACCUAAUCUUUUGUGCACCUCUUUUAUCAUCUACAAAAUUAAAAUAAUGGCACAUAUUUGAGUGUGAAGCAUGUA
rnacentral:lncRNA from 1 species